rnacentral:rRNA from 1 species
CAAUAGCGUAUAUUAAAGUUGUUGCGGUAAAAAAGCUCGUAGUUGGAUUUCUACCGAAGAUAGCCGGUCGGGUCUUCGACCUUGUAUCUGGUUUUGUCUUUGGUAUCCUCAUAGGGAACGUUUCUGCGCUUUAUUGCGUGGUGCGGUAUCUAUGACUUUUACUUUGAGGAAAUUAGAGUGUUCACGGCAGGCAAACGCCUUGAAUAUAUUAGCAUGGAAUAAUAACAUAGGAUCUACGUCCUAUUUUGUUGGUUUCUAGGGCUAAGAUAAUGAUUAAUAGGGAUAAUUGGGGGCAUCUGUAUCAACGCGUCAGAGGUGGAAUUCUUGGAUUGCGUUGCGACAAACUACUGCGAAAGCAUUUGCCAAGGAUGUUUUCAUUGA